rnacentral:snoRNA from 22 species
AUCGACAAUACUUCAAAGAAUCAUUUCUUUAGUAAACGUCCUUCUUCUGUGUUCUCUACAAGAGCCACAGACUCCAACUGGGAAGAUGAGUCGUUCCUCAAUGUCCUAGAGUGAAGCCUUUUGCUUUCGUUUUAUUUCUCUUUUUCUUUCUCUCUUUUGGGGGAAGGGGGAGAGAGGAGUAAUGUUGUUUUUUGGUAACAAGAAAUGAUGUAUAGAAAGUGGUGAUGAUCUCGACCCCUUUUUGAUUGGCUUCGGUCGUUGGAUUGGGGUGGGCGUUGAUGGAUGUCUGACCAGU